UACGUAGGGUGCGAGCGUUGUCCGGAAUUAUUGGGCGUAAAGAGCUUGUAGGCGGUUUGUCGCGUCUGCUGUGAAAAUCCGGGGCUCAACCCCGGACUUGCAGUGGGUACGGGCAGACUAGAGUGUGGUAGGGGAGACUGGAAUUCCUGGUGUAGCGAUGGAAUGCGCAGAUAUCAGGAGGAACACCGAUGGCGAAGGCAGGUCUCUGGGCCACUACUGACGCUGAGACGCGAAAGCUAGGGUAGCGAACGGG
rnacentral:rRNA from 1 species